AGCCCCGUCGUCUAGCGGCCAAGGAUAGUGGCCUUUGGAGCCAUUGACCCAGGAACAUAAAAUGUUUGGGAAUUCAAAUCCUGGCGGGGCUA
rnacentral:tRNA from 1 species